GGGGAGGGAGGAGGUCCCUGGCCAAACGGCGAGGCUCAGUGAAACUCCGGGGUGGGUUUUCCUGCCCCUUGGGAUCUCCUGACUCGGUCCCGGGUGGGGGCAGCAUUGGCGCGGGAGCCGUGGGAGCUGAGGGGCACCCGAGGGUGUCAGGGCCCAGGCGGGCAGGAAACUUGGGAGCGCCACGGAGUUGUCGGGCCUGCCAUUAGGGGAGCCCUGCUUUCCACCAGCUGCCCAUUCACGUGUCCCUGGGUUUCAAGAUGUGCCCCACAGGCUGACCUCGGGUGGCCGUGCCCCUCUCCUCUGCAUGGGCAGCAAUCCUUCCCAGGGGUCAGCGCACAGGGGGCGACCGUCGCCAGCCUCCCUCUGCAAGAAAAGGAAAGGGUGUAAAUUGCGGAAGACAGAUCCUUCCUUAACCCAGGGCGUGUGUCCCUGGAGGGGCCUCCGGUUUCCGGCAUGCCUCCAUCCCUUCCACUCAGGCCAAACCCUUUAGGGUAUGUGUGUGAAGGCAUGCAAUAUCGCAAGCAGAAAGGAACCUGGCCUGCUGGGGCCUCCUGGCAGCAACAAACUCCGACUUCAGAGGCAGAGCUGUGACUUCACCAAGGGAAGGCAUGCAAAGCUCGGAUGCCCACAGGUAGGGGCGUUAUCGCCGGAGCAGGAAUUGCCCUGCCUUCGCUGUGAAUGCACUCUCUGGACAGCAGAGCAGUUUCUGGCUCUCUGUCGUCCCCCUCCACCAAGGGCAGGCAUCGGUCCCUCAGCUGCCCAACCCUGGCACAUAAAAAUGCCACCAGGGAGAGGAGGGAGGCAUCCCCAGCACCCAAGGUGCCACAUCACAAGGAGGGGACAGGAUGUAGCUGACCUGGCCAGUGGAUGGAACGCCCUUCCUCGUUGCUUCACCAGCUGAAGAUAAAUCCGCAGCUGUUUUCUGGAUGUCACUCCUUUGGGAAGCAGAACUGAACAGAAAGCCGGUUGAAAAAUGGCCCUGGGUGUUUCAGAGAGACAAAGACAAGCAGGUCUGUUGCAAAUUCACAUGUUCAGAGGAUCCAGCGGGGACACAGCCGCACACCCGCACGGCCAGGCACAUUUGUUGGGUGUGGACCUUAUCAUCCCAUAUGCUUUUCUCUUUACCUCUCUCCACGGAGGUCAGGGUGGUAGCUCAGUACAUCCCACUGGGGUUUUAAUUCCACCAACAGCCCUGCGAGGUUGGCCACUUCAAAAGUUAGCAGCAGUUACCCCCCCCCAAGGUCACCCCCCUGAGCUUUGCCACCGAGUGGGGCUUAGAAGCCAGGCUUUCCUGGACAAACAGCCCUGCUCACUCCCAGCUGGUGAAUUUCUAUGAAGGUUACGGAGGGAUGGGCACAUGGCUGAGUUAUCAUCGUGGAGAGAAUGAAGUUUGCAAAAGCUUUAAUUGAAGUGCUGGCUGCUGUUAAUUAUACUAAAGAGAGAGAGCGAGAGCGAGAGAGAGAGCAAUGGGCUUUUUAUUAGCUAAUGAGGAUUUCCAUUUUUCCACCCUUUGAUGUUGGGAAGGCUAAUGGCUGCUAAAUUAAAAUGGUUUGGUUUCUUCUCUCUUCCACCCCUCUUGGUUAAGAGCUGGCAAAGGCAGCCACCGGGGCUUGUGAGGAGGGGGUGCUGAAGCGUGCAAUGCAGGGGAAGGAAGGAACAUUGGGGGCUGAGGAAGUGAGGAAUUGAUUUUCUGUAAUGAAGCGAUUUUGCCCUCUUAGCAUCUCUGGCCUGCCCAGCAGUGAAACUCUCCCCACCCGCUCUGAGCUUGCCCCUGGCAUGAUGGCGCAUUAAGAAAAUGUAGAGUAACUGCUCCAUUAAAAUCAUUAUUCUGCUGAAAAGGUUCCCUCUCCUCCCUCCAGGGCACUGUGCAAGUGCAUAGGGCAGUGGAUUAGGCCCUGCAGGGCCAAGAGGCUGAGGGGCAUUAAUGGCCAUCCGGCGAAUUCUCCAGACCCCGCCAAGCCCAGUAGGAGAGCCAGGCUGGCUUGUGACCUUUCCCCCUAAAAUAGCCUUUCUCCAGCUGGUCAGGCGGCAAAUGAAGAGGAGGAAGAGGAGAAGGCAGUGGAAGGCGUGGGAGGGGAAACGCCAUUUUGCAAGAUGCUUUGGAAAGAGGCAGAAAGGCAGAUUGGCUGCUGCCUCUACGGAAAAGCAAAAAAAAAGGAAUCCAACAGCAAAGAAGGAGAUGCGGUUCACGCUCCAGCCUACAGGGCCUCAAGAAACACGUUGCUUUAUUCAUUUCUUGAUUCUUCCCUUCAUUUUAUUUUUGUGUCCCUUCUUCGCCCCAGCACUGGCAACCCAAGGCAGCUCACCCUAAGAUUUUAUUUUUAAUGCCCCAAACGGCACAGUUCAAUGGGCAGCGAGUUGCCCUCUCAAUGCUCAAAUCAAGAAACAAGAAUAACAAAAGACACUUCGGCAGGUUUUAGGAAGCAGGUCAAGGAGAAAGUGCGGUCCCUGCCUCUCUCCAAAGCCAAGCAAAUCCCCAACAGCCUAGUGGCCCCUCCAGCAAAGCCCCCAGCCAAGGAGGCCAGCAGGAAGCAAAGUGGCCACUUGCACGCCAAAAGAGACUCGCUCCGGUGCCCACGUCAUCCCCCUUCCUGAUGAUAGAGAAAGCCGGUGGCUAUAAAAGUGGAGAGAGGUCCUACAAGGCACGCAGACCAAUUUUGGAAGGACGGGCGACAAAAAAGGCUCCAGAUCAAGGCUCCGGAGAGCCUCUUCAGGAUGCUGAGACUCAGGACUUCUGGGGUCAGUUAGAAGGCAGCCUUUCCAUGGGGAGCUGUCCAGGGUCCUGGUAGGUCCCUCUCUUGGCCUGUUGGGGGAACCCACAGGGUCUCACCUGCCCUGAGCCAAACCCUUCCAGACAGCUUUUCCGACAGAGCCCUAAACAGAGCAAGGACAGGGCAGAUUCGACCAUCACAAGGUUUUGAAAACCUGGGGAAAAUCAGCAGAGCUCCUGUUGCUGACAAGACCCUAAAGAAGGCACCAAGGGAGCCCCCCACUGAGACAGUGCUGCUUGCCUUUUCCCAUUAGCAAGAAUGAAGAUCUGGAAACACAGCAGCAGCGUCACAGAUGUAGAGGAGGACUGGGGCAGAGCGCUGGCAGCAGGGCCCAGGAAAAGCUGGGCCCCAAUCCGUGAGCCCUUUAUUUGAGCAUGCCAUGGGCCAGGAGUCCCUGGCACAUUCCCAGUUCCUAGGUCAACCUACGCAGUGUCAAAGGGGCAAAGACGGCGAAGCGAGAAAAAAAGUGGGAAGAGACUUUUGAAUCUUCUGCCCAUCCUCCUUCCUUCCAGGGUAUCACUGGUGGCAACGGUGGAGUGAGACCUAGUGCUCAUUUCUGCCCAACCUUGAAGAAAAAGCCAGCAAGCUGGGGGGAAAGCAGUUCACAGGAUAAGUCCCUUUUCUUCCCCUCCCUUAAAAAAAAGAAUGAAAAAAAAAACCCUCCCUUCUGUUCUCAUCCUUUUCUUUUCGUCUGCGAGAAGGGAAAUGGAAGGCGUGGGGAAGGGGGUGGCAACCACGUCAGCUAUCAAUGGCCCUGCCUUGAUGGGAAUAAAAUAUGCACUGAAAGACA
ensembl:lncRNA